rnacentral:rRNA from 1 species
AGAUUAAGUUAUUAAGGGCGCACGGUGGAUGCCUUGGCACUAGAAGCCGAUGAAGGACGUUACUAACGACGAUAUGCUUUGGGGAGCUGUAAGUAAGCUUUGAUCCAGAGAUUUCCGAAUGGGGAAACCCAGCAUGAGUUAUGUCAUGUUAUCCAUAUGUGAAUACAUAGCAUAUCAGAAGGCAUACCCGGAGAACUGAAACAUCUUAGUACCCGGAGGAAGAGAAAGAAAAUUCGAUUCCCUUAGUAGCGGCGAGCGAAACGGGAAGAGCCCAAACCAACAAGCUUGCUUGUUGGGGUUGUAGGACACUCUAUACGGAGUUACAAAGGACGACAUUAGACGAAUCAUCUGGAAAGAUGAAUCAAAGAAGGUAAUAAUCCUGUAGUCGAAAAUGUUGUCUCUCUUGAGUGGAUCCUGAGUACGACGGAGCACGUGAAAUUCCGUCGGAAUCUGGGAGGACCAUCUCCUAAGGCUAAAUACUCUCUAGUGACCGAUAGUGAACCAGUACCGUGAGGGAAAGGUGAAAAGCACCCCGGAAGGGGAGUGAAAUAGAACCUGAAACCGUGUGCUUACAAGUAGUCAGAGCCCGUUAAUGGGUGAUGGCGUGCCUUUUGUAGAAUGAACCGGCGAGUUACGAUUUGAUGCAAGGUUAAGCAGUAAAUGUGGAGCCGUAGCGAAAGCGAGUCUGAAUAGGGCGUUUAGUAUUUGGUCGUAGACCCGAAACCAGGUGAUCUACCCUUGGUCAGGUUGAAGUUCAGGUAACACUGAAUGGAGGACCGAACCGACUUACGUUGAAAAGUGAGCGGAUGAACUGAGGGUAGCGGAGAAAUUCCAAUCGAACCUGGAGAUAGCUGGUUCUCUCCGAAAUAGCUUUAGGGCUAGCCUCAAGUGAUGAUUAUUGGAGGUAGAGCACUGUUUGGACGAGGGGCCCCUCUCGGGUUACCGAAUUCAGACAAACUCCGAAUGCCAAUUAAUUUAACUUGGGAGUCAGAACAUGGGUGAUAAGGUCCGUGUUCGAAAGGGAAACAGCCCAGACCACCAGCUAAGGUCCCAAAAUAUAUGUUAAGUGGAAAAGGAUGUGGCGUUGCCCAGACAACUAGGAUGUUGGCUUAGAAGCAGCCAUCAUUUAAAGAGUGCGUAAUAGCUCACUAGUCGAGUGACACUGCGCCGAAAAUGUACCGGGGCUAAACAUAUUACCGAAGCUGUGGAUUGUCCUUUGGACAAUGGUAGGAGAGCGUUCUAAGGGCGUUGAAGCAUGAUCGUAAGGACAUGUGGAGCGCUUAGAAGUGAGAAUGCCGGUGUGAGUAGCGAAAGACGGGUGAGAAUCCCGUCCACCGAUUGACUAAGGUUUCCAGAGGAAGGCUCGUCCGCUCUGGGUUAGUCGGGUCCUAAGCUGAGGCCGACAGGCGUAGGCGAUGGAUAACAGGUUGAUAUUCCUGUACCACCUAUAAUCGUUUUAAUCGAUGGGGGGACGCAGUAGGAUAGGCGAAGCGUGCGAUUGGAUUGCACGUCUAAGCAGUAAGGCUGAGUAUUAGGCAAAUCCGGUACUCGUUAAGGCUGAGCUGUGAUGGGGAGAAGACAUUGUGUCUUCGAGUCGUUGAUUUCACACUGCCGAGAAAAGCCUCUAGAUAGAAAAUAGGUGCCCGUACCGCAAACCGACACAGGUAGUCAAGAUGAGAAUUCUAAGGUGAGCGAGCGAACUCUCGUUAAGGAACUCGGCAAAAUGACCCCGUAACUUCGGGAGAAGGGGUGCUCUUUAGGGUUAACGCCCAGAAGAGCCGCAGUGAAUAGGCCCAAGCGACUGUUUAUCAAAAACACAGGUCUCUGCUAAACCGUAAGGUGAUGUAUAGGGGCUGACGCCUGCCCGGUGCUGGAAGGUUAAGAGGAGUGGUUAGCUUCUGCGAAGCUACGAAUCGAAGCCCCAGUAAACGGCGGCCGUAACUAUAACGGUCCUAAGGUAGCGAAAUUCCUUGUCGGGUAAGUUCCGACCCGCACGAAAGGCGUAACGAUUUGGGCACUGUCUCAACGAGAGACUCGGUGAAAUCAUAGUACCUGUGAAGAUGCAGGUUACCCGCGACAGGACGGAAAGACCCCGUGGAGCUUUACUGUAGCCUGAUAUUGAAAUUCGGCACAGCUUGUACAGGAUAGGUAGGAGCCUUUGAAACGUGAGCGCUAGCUUACGUGGAGGCGCUGGUGGGAUACUACCCUAGCUGUGUUGGCUUUCUAACCCGCACCACUUAUCGUGGUGGGAGACAGUGUCAGGCGGGCAGUUUGACUGGGGCGGUCGCCUCCUAAAAGGUAACGGAGGCGCUCAAAGGUUCCCUCAGAAUGGUUGGAAAUCAUUCAUAGAGUGUAAAGGCAUAAGGGAGCUUGACUGCGAGACCUACAAGUCGAGCAGGGUCGAAAGACGGACUUAGUGAUCCGGUGGUUCCGCAUGGAAGGGCCAUCGCUCAACGGAUAAAAGCUACCCCGGGGAUAACAGGCUUAUCUCCCCCAAGAGUUCACAUCGACGGGGAGGUUUGGCACCUCGAUGUCGGCUCAUCGCAUCCUGGGGCUGUAGUCGGCCCCAAGGGUUGGGCUGUUCGCCCAUUAAAGCGGUACGCGAGCUGGGUUCAGAACGUCGUGAGACAGUUCGGUCCCUAUCCGUCGUGGGCGUAGGAAAUUUGAGAGGAGCUGUCCUUAGUACGAGAGGACCGGGAUGGACAUACCUCUGGUGUACCAGUUGUCGUGCCAACGGCAUAGCUGGGUAGCUAUGUGUGGACGGGAUAAGUGCUGAAAGCAUCUAAGCAUGAAGCCCCCCUCAAGAUGAGAUUUCCCAACUUCGGUUAUAAGAUCCCUCAAAGAUGAUGAGGUUAAUAGGUUCGAGGUGGAAGCAUGGUGACAUGUGGAGCUGACGAAUACUAAUCGAUCGAAGACUUAAUCAAAUU